rnacentral:rRNA from 1 species
UACGUAGGGUGCAAGCGUUAAUCGGAAUUACUGGGCGUAAAGCGUGCGCAGGCGGUUCUAUAAGACAGAUGUGAAAUCCCCGGGCUCAAACUGGGAACUGCAUUUGUGACUGUAGAGCUGGAGUACGGUAGAGGGGGAUGGAAUUCCGCGUGUAGCAGUGAAAUGCGUAGAUAUGCGGAGGAACACCGAUGGCGAAGGCAAUCCCCUGGACCUGUACUGACGCUCAUGCACGAAAGCGUGGGGAGCAAACAGG